rfam:Paenibacillus sp. FSL R7-0331, complete genome.
GAGACGGUAUCGCUGAAUUGUGAACUGUACUCCGGCUAGGCUUUAAGUAUUGAGUAAUUGCUUUUGGAUGUACCUUCAUAACUGUACAACACGGUUACGUUGGAUUCUGCUCUGAGCCGUAAGGACCGAGACAGAAGG